rnacentral:rRNA from 1 species
GACGAACGCUGGCGGCGUGCUUAACACAUGCAAGUCGAGCGAUGAAGCACCUUCGGGUGUGAAUUAGCGGCGAACGGGUGAGGAACACGUGAGAAAUCUGCCUUCAACUCUGGGAUAACUCCGUGAAAACGGGGCUAAUACCGGAUAUGAAACCUGCGGGCAUCCGCGGGUUUGGAAAGUUUUUCGGUUGAAGAUGAUCUCGCGGCCUAUCAGCUUGUUGGUGAGGUAAUGGCUCACCAAGGCGACGACGGGUAGCCGGCCUGGGAGGGCGACCGGCCACUCUGGGACUGAGACACGGCCAAGACUCCUACGGGAGGCAGCGGUGGGGAAGAUUGGGCAAGGGAGGAAACUCUGACCCAGCGACGCCGCGUGCGGGAUGAAGGCCUUCGGGUUGUAAACCGCUUUCAGCAGGGAAGAAGCGAAAGUGACGGUACCUGCAGAAGAAGCACCGGCUAACUAUGUGCCAGCAGCCGCCGUAA